UACGUAGGUGGCAAGCGUUGUCCGGAUUUACUGGGCGUAAAGAGCGCGCAGGCGGUCGUUCAAGUCGCGUGUGAAAGCCCCCGGCUCAACUGGGGAGGGUCACGCGAUACUGAUCGACUCGAAGGCAGGAGAGGGAAGUGGAAUUCCCGGUGUAGCGGUGAAAUGCGCAGAUAUCGGGAAGAACACCCGUGGCGAAGGCGGCUCUCUGGGACGGUACUGACGCUGAGACGCGAAAGCGUGGGGAGCGAACAGG
rnacentral:rRNA from 1 species